rnacentral:rRNA from 1 species
AAUCCAUAGGUUAAUGAGGCGAACCGGGGGAACUGAAACAUCUAAGUACCCCGAGGAAAAGAAAUCAACCGAGAUUCCCCCAGUAGCGGCGAGCGAACGGGGAGGAGCCCAGAGCCUGAAUCAGCAUGUGUGUUAGUGGAAGCGUCUGGAAAGGCGCGCGAUACAGGGUGACAGCCCCGUACACAAAAGCGCAUGUGCUGUGAGCUCGAUGAGUAGGGCGGGACACGUGGUAUCCUGUCUGAAUAUGGGGGGACCAUCCUCCAAGGCUAAAUACUCCUGACUGACCGAUAGUGAACCAGUACCGUGAGGGAAAGGCGAAAAGAACCCCGGCGAGGGGAGUGAAAAAGAACCUGAAACCGUGUACGUACAAGCAGUGGGAGCACCCUUUGGGUGUGACUGCGUACCUUUUGUAUAAUGGGUCAGCGACUUAUAUUCUGUAGCAAGGUUAACCGAAUAGGGGAGCCGGAGGGAAACCGAGUCUUAACCGGGCGUUAAGUUGCAGGGUAUAGACCCGAAACCCGGUGAUCUAGCCAUGGGCAGGUUGAAGGUUGGGUAACACUAACUGGA